rnacentral:rRNA from 1 species
UACGUAGGGUGCGAGCGUUAAUCGGAAUUACUGGGCGUAAAGCGUGCGCAGGCGGUUUUGUAAGCCAGAUGUGAAAUCCCCGGGCUUAACCUGGGAAUGGCAUUUGGGACUGCAAGGCUGGAGUACGGUAGAGGGGGAUGGAAUUCCGCGUGUAGCAGUGAAAUGCGUAGAUAUGCGGAGGAACACCGAUGGCGAAGGCACUCUUCUGGACGCAAACUGACGCUGAGGUUCGAAAGCCAAGGUAGCAAACAGG